ensembl:lncRNA
ACGUUAAAGUGUCUAGGAUAGAACAAGCGUUACAGAGUCGAGCCUGAAGACGUUUCCACAUCCUGAUUCAUGUUUUUGUUUUCCAGGCAGCAGCAGAGCUGAAGCCCAAAGAGUCCGUGAGCUCCAGAGCGUCCAGCGUCUCCUCCAGCAGCUCGCUGCAGCAAGCGGCGCCCAGCUCGCCCCCCGCAGAGGUGGAGGAAUCCCCGCGGGCCGAGCCGGCGCCUGCCGCAGACGGCCUGGGUCUGGGUCUGGGCGUGUCGCUGGCCGAGGCCAAAGAGAGAGCUCACAAGAAGAGGGCGGCCAAGAAGGCGCCGGCCAUGGACUGGAGCAAGAGGAACGAACUCUUCAGCAACCUAUAGGCUGAUCUGCGUCUCUGCGCCGCCCUCCAGUGGAGACCUGAGAGAGGAUGGCUGUCGGUGUGAAUCUCAGACUGACCGCUCCUUUAAACUGCCACGUUGAACAGUAUUAGAAAUGAUUUUAUUGUUUUAAUUUAGGGAUUUGACACUUUCUGCCUGUAAUGUUUCAAUGACUUAAAUGAUGCAGCAAUGAGCAGAGUGACACAGAGCCCUGAGGAAGAGGAGGAGGAGCCACGACUGCAUCAGGAAGAUUGAUUUGUUUAACUCUUAAGCUGAAAUCCUCUGUUCAGAGAAACUGCUGUGAAAGUCUUAAUCCUCAAUUCAAAGAAAUGUCUGUUUAAAUUGUACAUACAUGAAUGAAGGCCUGUUGAUUCUGCUUGUUGCUCUUGUUUUGACAGCGCCACCUACUGGGGACUCGUGUCCUUAAAGCUCUUUACAUUUUUGGAUCUUAGUGAGAUGUGUGUUCUCUACCAGGUCAGUUAUCUAAGGCAGGUCUCCGAAGGCUCAAACACUUCUAGUGCCUCAUUUCAAAAGUACAAAGGAUCCUAUGAAAAUUCACUUCAGAAUAUUGAAUCUCAGUUUUUGUAUGAAUCAAACUGGAAAAACGUCCUUUAAACAGCUGUAAAACCUUUGAAGGACAGCUGAAAAGUGACGGCACAUCUGGAAAGAUCAGUUUCCUGUAAAAAUCUGCAAUUCAGGACUCAAGGUGUUUUCAGCUGAAGCUUCAUUUACAGAAAUUUAUGCCAAAGUAAAACUAAGAUUUUAGUGAAUUGAUUUACUUUUUGGUAAAAGUAUUUAGUGUAGCAGAAACAUUUUAAGUUUAUAAACAGUUAUUUCUAACUACAUUUUGACCUGCAAUGAGCUUUGUAUAGAUGUGCGCCAAUGAAGGCGGCUGGACUGCUCAGUUGCUUGUGAGCAGGACUGGCAUGUGGGAAAAACAGGGGUCCAUUUCCCCAUGAGCUUCAUCCAGUGAGAGCCCUUGGGCAAGAUCCUUCAAACUGCCCAUUUAGCCACAAGGUGACCCGUGUCCGGGUCUCCUCGUCCCCAGCCCAAAUGAAAUACAGGGUUGUGUCCGGAGAAUGCAGCCUAAGAAGAUCCAUACUGAACCUGUGGUUCAGUGGAAGCCGAUGUGGCGAGUUUGCUUCAUGUUCAUUGACUUUCAUUUGGGAUGGAGGAAAUGAAGACAACAAACACGACAUCCUUUAAGAAACUUUAGUCAAGGAUUACUACAGGUGUCAGUUUGAACAUCAUGAGGUUUCCCACAGCAGAGCUGAAAACGUCCCCAUGUAGAUGGUCCCCCAAAUGGAUGAAGGCUCCGUCCAGUCUGUCCAGCUUGCCAUGCCGUCACUAUCCUCUAGAGGGCAUCGUUGGCUCUCAGGCAUAUACUAAGGUUCAUAUGAAAUGCAGUAGGUGCACAGAGUAACUGACAGCUUGGUUUCCUCACUGGGUCACUGGUUUACACUGCCCAAAGAACACCCCCCCGUUGCACAGGGGGGGGACCUCAGGAGCAUCUGGAAAAGUGUCCUGGGAAUAUUUCAAAUCAGAAAUAAAGUCCUUUGCCCGUUGAAAGGCGCUCCCAAACUGGAACAGGUGAGAUAAGGGGUGAACAGGGGGGGGUGUCAAGUCCACAGGCACCUCUCCAUUGUUCCAGGCCUGAAAGAGGGGCAUCUGCCGGGCCUCCAUCAGGUUCCUACUGAGGAGGGAAAGUUCCUCUGCGACACCUGUAGGUGGAGACGGAUCUGCAAAACCCUCACCUGGUAGAGCUUUAUACGGAGAGCCGAAGGAGCGCGCCAUCCCAACGUUGCUCAGUCCAGGCCCAGGUUGCUCAGGGACGGAGGGGUUGCUCCCCAGUUCUGGGGCACCAACGUUCAGAACUCCUCCGGGGGAGUCAGGCCAGAGGUUGGUUGGACCCUCCUCCACACUGUCAGGGCUGAGUGCUUGAUCAGGCCGUGCUGCAAAGCUAGUUUUAUUCUCCACAUAGUGGGAGUAACUCCAGGUCCAGGGGAAGUCCACAUCUGGUACUUUGGAAUGAGCAUCAGGGUCAUAGGUCAAGAUGAACCCUUGAGGCUCAUACCUGUGCUGCUGGAGUUCUGGACCUUUUAAAAGAAGGUUUUUUGUUGCAACAAUCAUUGGAUCAUACCGGUGAUCUAGAAGGAGAUUUGAUACAAAGUGAUGCUUACAGGCAAACACAGGAAGUGUUUUUAAGAUUACUGAACACUCACAAGGAGAAGCAGCACAGCAUCCAAGCAGCUGAACAAUCCAAGAAAGCCUAAAACACAAAACAAAAGUUAUUGUUAUUUAAGCACACACUAAAGGUCUCAAAAACCGUACAAAAAAAUAAAACUACACCUUAAAGCAAGCUUUAGAACCAUGUUUACCUCAGAGCAAAAGAUGAGCUCCAGCAGCAGACAGAAGAAGCUUUUAUCCAGGUGAACCGAUGAGCUCAUUAGAAACACCUGCAGGAAGGCCUGGCUCAUGCAGAAAGCUGCAGAUGAUCCUCAACCUUCAACAGCCCAGUUCAAAAUGUGGCGGGAAUGAAGCCAAAUCCCAGAUGCCAUCUGUGUAAAACAAAAAGAGGAGAAAGAAGCCUUUAGCUCCUUCGUAAAAAGACUUCAUGCAUACAAAUCUAACAGAGUAAAGACUGGAGGAAGAGCAAGAGGAAUGAGAAGCACAAAGGCUGAGGACCACAUUUACCCAAAUGGAGGUUUUUCUCAGAGGAUCAGAACGGUGGAUCACACCACAGCUCAUGUCAGAGACUAAAACUUACUAAAAACAAAAAACCUUUAGCAGUAUUUUUAGUUUAACCAACAAACUGCUUCUCUUUCAGAUAACUACUUGAAUGUUCAUAUACUUUUUUUCUGAGUAAUAUCUUGAAUGAUGUGGAAAUAUUACCAUUUUAAACACAUCAGAACACAAAUCUUAUUUACAAAUAUAAACACUUCAAACAACAACAAAAAUUAGAAAUAAAAGAAAACAUUUAAGUAAAUAAAUAUGCUGGUCAUGAAAU